rnacentral:rRNA from 1 species
UACGUAGGGGGCUAGCGUUGUCCGGAAUCAUUGGGCGUAAAGCGCGCGUAGGCGGCCCGGUAAGUCCGCUCUGAAAGUCCAGGGCUCAACCCUGGAAUGCGGGUGGAUACUGCCGGGCUAGAGUCCGGAAGAGGCGAGUGGAAUUCCUGGUGUAGCGGUGGAAUGCGCAGAUAUCAGGAGGAACACCGAUAGCGAAGGCAGCUUGCUACACAAUCAUUGACACUGAGGCACGAAAGCGUGGGGAGCAAACAGG